rnacentral:rRNA from 1 species
UACGGGGGGGGGCAAGCGUUGUUCGGAAUUACUGGGCGUAAAGGGCUCGUAGGCGGCCAACUAAGUCGGAUGUGAAAUCCCCAGGCUUAACCUGGGAACUGCAUCCGAUACUGGAUGGCUUGAAUCCGGGAGAGGGAUGCAGAAUUCCAGGUGUAGCGGUGAAAUGCGUAGAUAUCUGGAGGAAUACCGGUGGCGAAGGCGGCAUCCUGGACCAUUACUGACGCUGAGGCGCGAAAGCUAGGGGAGCAAACGGG